rnacentral:rRNA from 1 species
GAUGAACGCUGGCGGCGUGCUUAACACAUGCAAGUUGAACGAAGUGGCGGAUGGGCGAGUAACACGUGAGGAACCUGCCUUUCACAGGGGAAUAACACUGGGAAACCAGUGCUAAUACCGCAUAGUGAAAGAUGGCCUCGCGCCUGAUUAGCUAGUAGGUGAGGUACCGGCGCACCUAGGGGAUGAUCAGUAGCCGGGCUGACGGUUGAUCGGCGGCAUUGGGACUGAGACACGGCCCAGACUCCUACGGGAGGCAGCAGUGGGGAAUAUUGGGGAAUGGCGCAAGCCUGACCCAGCAACGCCGCGUGGGGGAUGAAGGCUUUCGGGUUGUAAACCUCUUUCGCUAUCGAAGGGUAGGUGGAGAAGAAGCGCCGGCUAACUACGUGCCAGCAGCCGCGGUAAUAC